UACAGAGGGUGCAAGCGUUGCUCGGAAUCACUGGGCGUAAAGGGUGCGUAGGCGGGUCUUUAAGUCAGAGGUGAAAUCCUGGAGCUCAACUCCAGAACUGCCUUUGAUACUGAGGAUCUUGAGUUCGGGAGAGGUGAGUGGAACUGCGAGUGUAGAGGUGAAAUUCGUGGAUAUUCGCAAGAACACCAGUGGCGAAGGCGGCUCACUGGCCCGAUACUGACGCUGAGGCACGAAAGCGUGGGGAGCAAACAGG
rnacentral:rRNA from 1 species